GUAGGUGAACCUGCGGAAGGAUCAUUAAAAGAGAUAGGGUCUCACGGCCCGACCUCCAACCCUUUGUUGUUUAAAAAAAACCUGUUGCUUUGGCGGGACCGUUCGUCCUCGUGACGGACUGUCGGUCUUCGGCCCGGCAAGCGCCCGCCAGAGUCCAACCAAACUCUUGAUAUAACCAGUCGUCUGAGAAUAAAGAUUUAAUCAAUUAAAACUUUCAACAACGGAUCUCUUGGUUCUG
rnacentral:misc_RNA from 1 species